UACGUAGGGGGCAAGCGUUGUCCGGAAUCAUUGGGCGUAAAGAGCGCGUAGGCGGCCCAGUAAGUCCGCUCUGAAAGUCAGGGGCUCAACCCCUGAAUGCGGGUGGAUACUGCUGGGCUAGAGUCCGGAAGAGGCGAGUGGAAUUCCUGGUGUAGCGGUGAAAUGCGCAGAUAUCAGGAGGAACACCGAUGGCGAAGGCAGCUCGCUGGGACGUUACUGACGCUGAGACGCGAAAGCGUGGGGAGCAAACAGG
rnacentral:rRNA from 1 species